GUGAGGAAUAUUGGUCAAUGGGCGCAAGCCUGAACCAGCCAUCCCGCGUGAAGGACGACGGCCCUAUGGGUUGUAAACUUCUUUUGUACGGGAAGCACGUGCGCUAUGUAUAGCGUAUUGACGGUACCGUACGAAUAAGCAUCGGCUAACUCCGUGCCAGCAGCCGCGGUAAUACGGAGGAUGCGAGCGUUAUCCGGAUUCAUUGGGUUUAAAGGGUGCGUAGGCGGCCCGGUAAGUCAGCGGUGAAAGUUUGCGGCUCAACCGUAAAAUUGCCGUUGAUACUGUCGGGCUUGAGUUCAGAUGAAGUGGGCGGAAUGAGUAGUGUAGCGGUGAAAUGCUUAGAUAUUACUCAGAACACCGAUUGCGAAGGCAGCCCACUAAACUGCGACUGACGCUGAUGCACGAAAGCGUGGGGAUCGAACAGGAUUAGAAACCCGAGUAGCC
rnacentral:rRNA from 1 species